rnacentral:rRNA from 1 species
UACGGAGGGGGCUAGCGUUGUUCGGAAUUACUGGGCGUAAAGGGCGCGUAGGCGGCGAUUCAAGUCAGGCGUGAAAGGCCUGGGCUCAACCCGGGAACUGCGUUUGAUACUGGAUUGCUGGAGUCCGGGAGAGGAUGGCGGAAUUCCCAGUGUAGAGGUGAAAUUCGUAGAUAUUGGGAAGAACACCGGUGGCGAAGGCGGCCAUCUGGACCGGAACUGACGCUGAGGCGCGAAAGCGUGGGGAGCAAACCGG